GACGAACGCUGGCGGCGUGCCUAAUACAUGCAAGUAGAACGCUGAAGAGAGGAGCUUGCUCUUCUUGGAUGAGUUGCGAACGGGUGAGUAACGCGUAGGUAACCUGCCUUGUAGCGGGGGAUAACUAUUGGAAACGAUAGCUAAUACCGCAUAACAAUGGAUGACACAUGUCAUUUAUUUGAAAGGGGCAAUUGCUCCACUACAAGAUGGACCUGCGUUGUAUUAGCUAGUAGGUGAGGUAACGGCUCACCUAGGCGACGAUACAUAGCCGACCUGAGAGGGUGAUCGGCCACACUGGGACUGAGACACGGCCCAGACUCCUACGGGAGGCAGCAGUAGGGAAUCUUCGGCAAUGGGGGCAACCCUGACCGAGCAACGCCGCGUGAGUGAAGAAGGUUUUCGGAUCGUAAAGCUCUGUUGUAAGUCAAGAACGAGUGUGAGGGUGGAAAGUUCACACUGUGACGGUAGCUUACCAGAAAGGGACGGCUAACUACGUG
rnacentral:rRNA from 1 species